rnacentral:rRNA from 1 species
GGGUGCAAUCAUACCAACAUUAAUGCACCAGAUCCCAUCAGAACUCUGCAGUUAAGCGCGCUUGGGCUAGAGUAGUACUGGGAUGGGUGACCUCCCAGGAAGUCCUAGUGUUGCACCCU